GAGUACUGGGAGGGUGGUGGCGUGGAAGGAGCUCGGUAUCACGUAUGCGUACACGGUGGAGGCCUCCUUUUGUGGCGCUGACGCCCCUUCUUCUAUCAACACGCACUUCGACAUGUGCCACCUGGA
rnacentral:SRP_RNA from 1 species